UAGACUGUUAAAUAGAGUAGCUU
rnacentral:piRNA from 1 species